rnacentral:rRNA from 1 species
GACGAACGCUGGCGGCGUGCUUAACACAUGCAAGUCGAACGGAAAGGCCCUGCUUUUGUGGGGUGCUCGAGUGGCGAACGGGUGAGUAACACGUGAGUAACCUGCCCUUGACUUUGGGAUAACUUCAGGAAACUGGGGCUAAUACCGGAUAGGAGCUCCUGCUGCAUGGUGGGGGUUGGAAAGUUUCGGCGGUUGGGGAUGGACUCGCGGCUUAUCAGCUUGUUGGUGGGGUAGUGGCUUACCAAGGCUUUGACGGGUAGCCGGCCUGAGAGGGUGACCGGCCACAAUGGGACUGAGGUACGGCCCAAGCCCCUUCGGGGGGGAAGAGGGGGGAAUUAUGGACAAAGGGCCGAAAGCUUAUGGAAGAACCGCGGGGUGCGGGAUACGGCCUUCGGGGUUGAAACCGCUUUCGCCUUGUGCGGAAGGGUAGGUAAGGUUAAUGGGUAAAGAACACCGGCUAACUUAGGG